rnacentral:rRNA from 1 species
AAUCAACGCUGGCGGCGUGCCUAACACAUGCAAGUCGAACGCGAAAGCCCCGCAAGGGGUAAGUAGAGUGGCAAACGGGUGAGUAACACGUGGGUGACCUGCCUUCGAGUGGGGGAUAACGUCCCGAAAGGGACGCUAAUACCGCAUGACAUCCUGCUUUUGAAAAAGCGGAGAUCAAAGCUGGGGAUCGCAAGACCUAGCGCUUGAAGAGGGGCCCGCGCCUGAUUAGCUAGUUGGUGAGGUAACGGCUCACCAAGGCGACGAUCAGUAUCCGGCCUGAGAGGGCGGACGGACACACUGGGACUGAGACACGGCCCAGACUCCUACGGGAGGCAGCAGUGGGGAAUUGUUCGCAAUGGGCGCAAGCCUGACGACGCAACGCCGCGGGGAGGACGAAGAUCUUCGGGUCGUAAACUCCUGUCGAGCGGGACGAACGCUUCGCGGAUGAAUAAUCCGCGGAAUUGACGGUACCGCUAAAGGAAGCCCCGGCUAACUCCGUG